rnacentral:rRNA from 1 species
GACGAACGCUGGCGGCGUGCUUAACACAUGCAAGUCGAACGGAAAGGCCCUGCUUUUGUGGGGUGCUCGAGAGGCGAACGGGUGAGUAACACGUGAGUAACCUGCCCUUGACUUUGGGAUAACUUCAGGAAACUGGGGCUAAUACCGGAUAGGAGCUCCUGCUGCAUGGUGGGGGUUGGAAAGUUUCGGCGGUUGGGGAUGGACUCGCGGCUUAUCAGCUUGUUGGUGGGGUAGUGGCUUACCAAGGCUUUGACGGGUAGCCGGCCUGAGAGGGUGACCGGCCACAUUGGGACUGAGAUACGGCCCAGACUCCUACGGGAGGCAGCAGUGGGGAAUAUUGCACAAUGGGCGGAAGCCUGAUGCAGCAACGCCGCGUGCGGGAUGACGGCCUUCGGGUUGUAAACCGCUUUCGCCUGUGACGAAGCGUGAGUGACGGUAAUGGGUAAAGAAGCACCGGCUAACUACGUGCCAGCAGCCGCGGUGAUACGUAGGGUGCGAGCGUUGUCCGGAUUUAUUGGGCGUAAAGGGCUCGUAGGUGGUUGAUCGCGUCGGAAGUGUAAUCUUGGGGCUUAACCCUGAGCGUGCUUUCGAUACGGGUUGACUUGAGGAAGGUAGGGGAGAAUGGAAUUCCUGGUGGAGCGGUGGAAUGCGCAGAUAUCAGGAGGAACACCAGUGGCGAAGGCGGUUCUCUGGGCCUUUCCUGACGCUGAGGAGCGAAAGCGUGGGGAGCGAACAGGCUUAGAUACCCUGGUAGUCCACGCUGUAAACGGUGGGUACUAGGUGUGGGGUCCAUUCCACGGGUUCCGUGCCGUAGCUAACGCUUUAAGUACCCCGCCUGGGGAGUACGGCCGCAAGGCUAAAACUCAAAGGAAUUGACGGGGCCCCGCACAAGCGGCGGAGCAUGCGGAUUAAUUCGAUGCAACGCGUAGAACCUUACCUGGGUUUGACAUGGAUCGGGAGUGCUCAGAGAUGGGUGUGCCUCUUUUGGGGUCGGUUCACAGGUGGUGCAUGGCUGUCGUCAGCUCGUGUCGUGAGAUGUUGGGUUAAGUCCCGCAACGAGCGCAACCCUUGUUCACUGUUGCCAGCACGUUAUGGUGGGGACUCAGUGGAGACCGCCGGGGUCAACUCGGAGGAAGGUGGGGAUGACGUCAAGUCAUCAUGCCCCUUAUGUCCAGGGCUUCACGCAUGCUACAAUGGCUGGUACAGAGAGUGGCGAGCCUGUGAGGGUGAGCGAAUCUCGGAAAGCCGGUCUCAGUUCGGAUUGGGGUCUGCAACUCGACCUCAUGAAGUCGGAGUCGCUAGUAAUCGCAGAUCAGCAACGCUGCGGUGAAUACGUUCCCGGG